GCUUGCUUUGGCAGGACAUAUACUAAUAUUGGAACGAUACAAUGAAGGUUAGCAUGGCUCCUACACAAAGAUGACACGCAACUUCAUGAAGCAUUCCAUAUUUAA